GGCUAGCAGGGCUAUCCAGGUCAUAGAAGACAGUGGAAUGUUGACAGAAAGAACUCCCCUGGGCCUGGGGAAGGAGCCUCAGGAUGGCUUCCAAGGUUUCUCUGCUGUUAGACGAUAGGGAGUGAGUGACCUGUGACCCACCCUCGUGAAGAGAAACCUCUGGAUGGAGAGGCCAAGAGGGGUCAGAGUUCCCCGAGGGACAGGCUGGGUGCCCAGCACAUGCCCGCGGUGGCGAGUGGGGCCGCAGGUGGGCAGCCCUGGGAGAUGGGCACGCCCGCCUGGCUCCCUGGAGCCCUGGUCUGGGGCUUGGAUAUUAUUCCACAUGCUGCGUCUGCAUUUUUGGGCUGCGCAGUGGAAGCCAAAGCCUCAGAAAUGAGCUGGCACCUUCCUUUCUCUUGGCGCCUCUAACCACAAGCACAUCAGUCUCUGUUGUUUACCAGAGGCCAGAAGGGCGCCUUCUGUGGCAUCUUGGACCCCGGUUCUGGCGAAGAUGUUUGUUGGAAACAGGGAGGGAGCUUCCACAGCGCUCCCUGGCAGUGUGGCCAUCCACGCAGCCUUAUGCAUCUGUGGGGUGUUGCCCUGCAUUCUGGGGGUGUCUGCUCAGUGGUGUAAAGCUGGAAAAAUGUGCCCGGGCUGCGGAGACACCGGAUGACAGAGCAUACUCACAGGUGCAGGGGUGCGGCAGAAGCAUGGCUGGGGUCAGAGUGCGCCACCGGGGAGAGCUAUCUCCUGUCCUGCUCCAGUCCGCCUCGCCUGGAUUAGCCCGGACCUGACGCAGGAUCAGCUGUCCUUGCCCCACAUCCUCAGGCAGCAGAGUUGAAAUGUCAGUUGAAAUGUCCUUCCUUACCACAAAGAGCAUGUCUUGUGUUACAGAUAGGUUUGUGUAAGCCACGUUUUCCAUCCAAGAGUGCCAGGGAGGGGUGGGGCUUGAGCCUCUGCAGGGGAGCUGGGGGUAAGACAGUGAGGGGCAGAGGAGUCUACCACGGGUGUCCUGGGAACGUCUGUCCCCUUUCCUGGAGUCCUGGCUGAGCCUUGGACCUCAGGAGACCGUCUCAGAGAAGGCCAGGAGCCCUGGACUGUGGUCCCCAGCUCAGAAAGACAGGAGACAGAUGAGAUGACCUGGUCGGAGCUGCAGGUGUGGCAGUCAUCAGCUGCGUGAACUUGGACAACUCCCUUGACCUUGGGUUCCAUUUCUAUAAGCUGGGGCGGCAGCUCCUCCCCUGUUCCUCUGGUUAGCACCAAGACAACCCGUGUUCUCCCUCCCUGAAAGACUGUAGGCAGUGAAUAGAUCUCGAAGGUCCUUGACUCGAAUAACCAAUAUCCGUGGAGGGCGUCUGUGGGCCGGGCAUCAUUCAGAUGCUUCUAUCUGCGCAUAGUCCACAAACUCUCCCCACAACCCCGUGGCACAGGGGCUAUCCCUCUUCUUUUUUACAGGGGGGCCACCCAGGCAGAAAGCUGAGAGAGGAGGCGCCAGUGCUUGAAGGUGGGCAGCCUGGCCUCGAGUCGGAGUUGCUGGGCGCCGUCCCACCGGUUGGUGGGUGAGUGACAGCACAUCCUGGAGGCCUCCGCUGGUGCAAAGGGAAAAGGACAUCCCAGAUCUUCCGAACUCUCGGAGCUCUCCGUGGACGGAACCGUCAGUGUUUCUCUCUCCACCUCCUUCUCCUCUUCGGCUUUCUUCAAGCUUCCAAGAUGGAUUUUUGAUCUUUUUGUGUUUUAUUCCUUGGAGGGCAAGCUCCCAGCUGAGGAAGAAUGUUGGCUCUGUCCUCAUGGCUUCAAAAUGGUUGCUCCAACUCCAGCCUCUGGUCUGCGUCCCAGUCAGAAAGAAGAACGAGGCAUUCAUUCUGGUUCAGAAGGGAAGCCUGCCUUUGCCUGAUGUCUUGUUGGCUAGAAUGACAGUGAAUGGUCACCCCUAUCUUCAGCGGGAUCUGGGAAAUAAACUAUUUUAGCUCCCUAGACUCAUCAGCAAGGGGAAGGCAAUUGUGGGUGCCUUUAGGUAACAUAUCUCCCCAUGCUGGGCCUUACAGAGGAUGUAUCUAAAAUGCUAACUCCAGUGCCUGACACAGAUUAAGUGCCUGAGGAGGGAACAUUUCAUCCUUAUUAGCUAAAUUCACUAAGGAAUGAAUUUUAAAAAGGGGAAGGAUUAAUACCUUACAGUGCAAAUGAGGCCUUAGUAAAUAGAUGUCCUUCUAGUUCUUCUCUUGGCUUCCACUGGCUGGCGUGGGGCUGCUCUCGUGUCUCCCAUCUCAGACAAAGCUUCCACUGAAAUCCCCAGCAUGGGGGGCCAUUCUGAGCCCCCACCCCUCUUCCUGGGCUCUCUGCAGACUGGACGCUUUGUGCUGCCUGGAGAAACUUGGCUUUGCACACCAGUUACAAAACAACUGGAGAGUGUGUUAGGCCAGGGGAAGGCUGGAUUGCCCUCAGACCUAUCAAUGAGAAACGGGGUUCACCUGCACAUUUGUAUCCCGCCCUGAUUUAAUUGAUGAUGUCACCGUGGAGACCCUGAGGCAUAUUCCUUUCAGCCUCCGGACUUCUCCAGAAAGCCACCAUUCUGUUCUACAUGGUCUUGUUUUUAAGCGUAUUUUUAAAAAAAUGUGUUCAUCCAGAUAGAACCCAGAAUUCAUGAUAAAUUCAUGAUUACAUCGCGGGUGUUUACCGCAGUAAGUUUUCUUUGGGCUCCUGAUUGUUUACUGCCUGGGGUAGAUUAUGCAUGCAGCAGGUUAAGGAAGGAAAUUCAUUAAUUUCACAGCUAACCACAGGUCUCACCGUGCAGCUCGCACCUCACCUCCAACCUGUCUCAGCAGCUAAUGAACCUGAACCUCAAACUGGGAACCAUUCUUCUGGAACUUGAACGGAGGUGCCAACGACCUCCGGACAGCGCGGAGGCAUUGAUCUGUGUGUCUCCCCCUGAGCAGGCUCUGAUGAUGGCAGCUUGUGAUUAACUCUAGGACAGAAGGGGGUUGAGUUGAGUAACAACCCCUUGGAAAGUGGGAAUUAAAAAGAUCCUUCUGCCUAGCCUCCCCUGCUUUGUGCGCCCAGCUCACAAAUCACAGGCUCGGGUGCCCGGCCAUCAACACCGCUGAGGGAGACGGGGCGGCUGGGUUUUGACGGCAGACUUGGUUGAUGCUUGGACUGAGGGUGUCAUCAAUCUUGGAACUUUUGGAAAGCUGUAUGGAUUUUGUUGGGGGAGGAGACAAGCUAUAUUUGUAGG